rnacentral:tRNA from 2 species
GGCCUUGUGAUGUUCAGCAUAUAAAAUUGCAAAUUUUAAAGGGCAAAGUAGCUUUUUGCCGGGGCUU